rnacentral:rRNA from 1 species
UAAGCGACUAAGCGUACACGGUGGAUGCCCUGGCAGUCAGAGGCGAUGAAGGACGUGCUAAUCUGCGAUAAGCGUCGGUAAGGUGAUAUGAACCGUUAUAACCGGCGAUUUCCGAAUGGGGAAACCCAGUGUGAUUCGUCACACUAUCAUUAACUGAAUCCAUAGGUUAAUGAGGCGAACCGGGGGAACUGAAACAUCUAAGUACCCCGAGGAAAAGAAAUCAACCGAGAUUCCCCCAGUAGCGGCGAGCGAACGGGGAGCAGCCCAGAGCCUGAAUCAGUGUGUGUGUUAGUGGAAGCGUCUGGAAAGGCGUGCGAUACAGGGUGACAGCCCCGUACACAAAAAUGCACAUGCUGUGAGCUCGAUGAGUAGGGCGGGACACGUGGUAUCCUGUCUGAAUAUGGGGGGACCAUCCUCCAAGGCUAAAUACUCCUGACUGACCGAUAGUGAACCAGUACCGUGAGGGAAAGCGAAAAGAACCCCGGCGAGGGGAGUGAAAAAGAACCUGAAACCGUGUACGUACAAGCAGUGGGAGCACGAUCUGUGUGACUGCGUACCUUUUGUAUAAUGGGUCAGCGACUUAUAUUCUGUAGCAAGGUUAACCGAAUAGGGGAGCCGAAGGGAAACCGAGUCUUAACUGGGCGUUAAGUUGCAGGGUAUAGACCCGAAACCCGGUGAUCUAGCCAUGGGCAGGUUGAAGGUUGGGUAACACUAACUGGAGGACCGAACCGACUAAUGUUGAAAAAUUAGCGGAUGACUUGUGGCUGGGGGUGAAAGGCCAAUCAAACCGGGAGAUAGCUGGUUCUCCCCGAAAGCUAUUUAGGUAGCGCCUCGUGAAUUCAUCUCCGGGGGUAGAGCACUGUUUCGGCAAGGGGGUCAUCCCGACUUACCAACCCGAUGCAAACUGCGAAUACCGGAGAAUGUUAUCACGGGAGACACACGGCGGGUGCUAACGUCCGUCGUGAAGAGGGAAACAACCCAGACCGCCAGCUAAGGUCCCAAAGUCAUGGUUAAGUGGGAAACGAUGUGGGAAGGCCCAGACAGCCAGGAUGUUGGCUUAGAAGCAGCCAUCAUUUAAAGAAAGCGUAAUAGCUCACUGGUCGAGUCGGCCUGCGCGGAAGAUGUAACGGGGCUAAACCAUGCACCGAAGCUGCGGCAGCGACGCUUAUGCGUUGUUGGGUAGGGGAGCGUUCUGUAAGCCUGCGAAGGUGUGCUGUGAGGCAUGCUGGAGGUAUCAGAAGUGCGAAUGCUGACAUAAGUAACGAUAAAGCGGGUGAAAAGCCCGCUCGCCGGAAGACCAAGGGUUCCUGUCCAACGUUAAUCGGGGCAGGGUGAGUCGACCCCUAAGGCGAGGCCGAAAGGCGUAGUCGAUGGGAAACAGGUUAAUAUUCCUGUACUUGGUGUUACUGCGAAGGGGGGACGGAGAAGGCUAUGUUGGCCGGGCGACGGUUGUCCCGGUUUAAGCGUGUAGGCUGGUUUUCCAGGCAAAUCCGGAAAACUAAGGCUGAGGCGUGAUGACGAGGCACUACGGUGCUGAAGCAACAAAUGCCCUGCUUCCAGGAAAAGCCUCUAAGCAUCAGGUAACAUCAAAUCGUACCCCAAACCGACACAGGUGGUCAGGUAGAGAAUACCAAGGCGCUUGAGAGAACUCGGGUGAAGGAACUAGGCAAAAUGGUGCCGUAACUUCGGGAGAAGGCACGCUGAUAUGUAGGUGAAGCGACUUGCUCGUGGAGCUGAAAUCAGUCGAAGAUACCAGCUGGCUGCAACUGUUUAUUAAAAACACAGCACUGUGCAAACACGAAAGUGGACGUAUACGGUGUGACGCCUGCCCGGUGCCGGAAGGUUAAUUGAUGGGGUCAGCGCAAGCGAAGCUCUUGAUCGAAGCCCCGGUAAACGGCGGCCGUAACUAUAACGGUCCUAAGGUAGCGAAAUUCCUUGUCGGGUAAGUUCCGACCUGCACGAAUGGCGUAAUGAUGGCCAGGCUGUCUCCACCCGAGACUCAGUGAAAUUGAACUCGCUGUGAAGAUGCAGUGUACCCGCGGCAAGACGGAAAGACCCCGUGAACCUUUACUAUAGCUUGACACUGAACAUUGAGCCUUGAUGUGUAGGAUAGGUGGGAGGCUUUGAAGUGUGGACGCCAGUCUGCAUGGAGCCGACCUUGAAAUACCACCCUUUAAUGUUUGAUGUUCUAACGUUGACCCGUGAUCCGGGUUGCGGACAGUGUCUGGUGGGUAGUUUGACUGGGGCGGUCUCCUCCUAAAGAGUAACGGAGGAGCACGAAGGUUGGCUAAUCCUGGUCGGACAUCAGGAGGUUAGUGCAAUGGCAUAAGCCAGCUUGACUGCGAGCGUGACGGCGCGAGCAGGUGCGAAAGCAGGUCAUAGUGAUCCGGUGGUUCUGAAUGGAAGGGCCAUCGCUCAACGGAUAAAAGGUACUCCGGGGAUAACAGGCUGAUACCGCCCAAGAGUUCAUAUCGACGGCGGUGUUUGGCACCUCGAUGUCGGCUCAUCACAUCCUGGGGCUGAAGUAGGUCCCAAGGGUAUGGCUGUUCGCCAUUUAAAGUGGUACGCGAGCUGGGUUUAGAACGUCGUGAGACAGUUCGGUCCCUAUCUGCCGUGGGCGCUGGAGAACUGAGGGGGGCUGCUCCUAGUACGAGAGGACCGGAGUGGACGCAUCACUGGUGUUCGGGUUGUCAUGCCAAUGGCACUGCCCGGUAGCUAAAUGCGGAAGAGAUAAGUGCUGAAAGCAUCUAAGCACGAAACUUGCCCCGAGAUGAGUUCUCCCUGACUCCUUGAGAGUCCUGAAGGAACGUUGAAGACGACGACGUUGAUAGGCCGGGUGUGUAAGCGCAGCGAUGCGUUGAGCUAACCGGUACUAAUGAACCGUGAGGCUUAACCU